GCCGUGAGGUGUUGCCUUAAGUGGCGCAACGAGCGCAACCCCUGUCCUUAGUUGCCAGCGGGUAAUGCCGGGAACUCUAGGGAGACUGCCGGUGCCAAACCGGAGGAAGGUGGGGAUGACGUCAAGUCAUCAUGCCCCUUAUAUCCAGGGCUGCACGCAUGCUACAAUGCGCGAUACAGAGGGUUGCGAUCCCGCAAGGGGGAGCGAAUCCCAAAAAGUCGCGCUCAGUUCGGAUCGAGGUCUGCAACCCGACCUCGUGAAGUCGGAGUCGCUAGUAAUCGCAGAUCAGCAAUGCUGCGGUGAAUACGUUCCCGGGCCUUGUACACACCGCCCGUCACACCACGAAAGUGGGCAACACCCGAAGCCGGUGGCCUAACCCUUUUGGGAGGGAGCCGUCGAAGGUGGGGCUCGCGAUUGGGGUGAAGUCGUAACAAGGUAGCCGUACCGGAAGGUGCGGCUGGAUCACCUCCUUUCUAAGGGGCCUUUGGCACUAUUCGAGUGGACCGGACGUUCGUUCCGAUCACAUCCUCGAAAGACUCCAGGUCGAUCACUGGCUUCCCGUCGUGCUGUCCUCAUGCGCCUUGCCUAGUAGCCCCGUUCGCGGGGCGAACGACGAGGUGGGUGGAACGGCCGACGGGACACACUGUUCAGCUUUGAGGGUGCGAGCCCUCCGAGCACCUUGAGAACUCGAUAGCGAGCGCGAGCAUCAAUAGUCAAGUUACAAAGGGCUUACGGUGGAUGCCUUGGCGCCAGGAGCCGAUGAAGGACGCGUCAGGCUGCGAAAAGCUUCGGGGAGCUGCCGAGAGAGCUUUGAUCCGGAGAUGU
rnacentral:sRNA from 1 species